GAGAAAAGAAAGCGGACUUGUUUCCAAGUAAACUGUGAAGCUUGAUGAUAAGUUGAUCUUCAUCUUCACUGAAAUUUCCUCUCUUAAGAUCAGGUCUCAAGUAGUUCAUCCAUCUUAACCUGCAACUUUUACCGCACCUAAGCAGCCCUGGAAGCAUUUGACAAACCAAAC